ACAACACACUACACACAGUAGGGUUAACAACUUCCAUCCACUCUUUCUCUUUGCUUAGUUGGAUUUGCUUUGGAAAAGAACAUGCUGGCUAUGUGAACGAGGAGGAAGGGGAGAAAAGAACUGAAAGAAAAGGAGUCGUCGUCGCAACACAGGAUGCGUGGAGACCCUGAAGAAAAACACUUACCCUGUUGCACUGUGCGGGAGGACAGUCAUCCAACCGUACCCCAAAGGUGAUGCCGGCCGGUGUCUUCUUUUCAAACGGCUUCCUCAUGAUCCCCGGAAUGCCAAUUUUCCACGCACCUCUGUCCCUCGGUGGACUGGCCUCAUCUGAUGCACACAUGUUAAGUUAGGUACCAUGUCCUCUUCGUCAUGGGAUGUGGAUACAAGUUUACCUCGUAGCGCCCUGCGCUCUUCUGAUUUCGGCGAAUGAGGGCUGUGGCUCUUGCUCUC